AUAGAUUGGCAUCAUUAACCCAAACUUAACUAUUCCUCACCACUACGACCACGAUCAAGAAUUCAAUGAAUCUUGUCCAACUUCCAGUCGGUGAUUCUCACCUAUAAAAAGUCUUAUCUACUGUUGGCUCAAUACAAACCACAUGGAGGUUGAAGAUCUUAGCUUCCGCCGUUCAGUAUGAAGCGAGCUUAGUCGGAAAGCUUUGGCGAAGAUUCUCUGUGAGGAGAUGAAAUUUAUAUUUAACUAGUUGUUUUAAUUUAUAUGCAAAACUCUAGAACAAUAACUAAGUAAUAUCUCAUAAUGGGUUAGUAAUGUUGGAGUCUUGACUUCUCGGCUCGAGCUUUCGAAUAAGCUGUUAUGUUGAACGGUUCAUCUCAGGUCGCCGUCGACGGUGAUCCGUCGUGUCUCCUUGCUGGUUCCGGAGGAAGAAAACGGCUUCUCGCUUGGACGCGUGUCUCUGGCUUGCUGACGCAAUCAAACACAUGUGGAAUGGAUGCGGUUUCUUCCUCAACGGGUUUUGCUUCUUUGGACUGACAAUCCAAGAAGUUUUAUGUACAGUUGGCCUGUUGUUUAGGUCUUUCGUUUUUUUUUUCUGUAUGUUGGGCUUUGGUUCCGUGUGGGCUUUAGCCUUUUGAUAAAAUACCCACUUGACAGAAAGAAAAAAAAAAGUAAUGUUGGAGUC